rnacentral:lncRNA from 1 species
CUAUAGCUCUGGAGUUUUUGUAGAUUUUCAAAUAAAACUCAGAGAUUCCUUGUAUGACUCUCUAAAUCUCUCUUUUUUGGUAUUUCUGGAUCCUUACCAAGGCAGUGAUGGUAUAUGCCUUCUCUCAAGAUAUGUGGUAUUUGUGGUAUAAGGCAUAGUGACAUUGCCUUCUCUCUCACCCUACUCUUAAUAAGGCUUUAAUAUCUGGAGCUCAUAGGUGGGAGAUAAAGUAUACAUACUUACAAGACAUUUAUUGUAUAGUCAAACCAUGGAUCCAAAGAAACAAAUCAAUAAGCCAAAUCAAGGUGUGCAUGUGUGGCGAAUGAAUGGUGUAUAGUGAUGAUGGUGAUAACAAUGGUGAAAGUCUAAUUCUACUUUUGCUCUUUUGAGGGGAUACAUACCUUCCUUGCUUUUUGAAACUUUAUGAGGAGAAUGAGAUGCUCUUCUUUUUCUUUUCUCUCAGAUGGGUAUCCUGUACCCCUAAUUCUACUGUCGGACACUUGUCCAUUUUUACCUCUCGUCACACUCUUUUUCUUUUCUUUCGAGGUUCCGGGCACUUGCCCCUUUUUAUUUCCUCGUUUAUUUUUUUUUCUUUUCUUUUUUUUUCUUCUUUUUUUUUCAGAGCACUCAUCUCUUGAGAUAAUAUAGCAAGUGGUAGUAGCAAGAUAACUUGAGCAUUUAUUUCACAAGGGGAAAACACAGAUGUUUUUGGCUAUUCUGUCCCGAAUUAGGAGUAGAAUAUUUUUAGGUGAUUCUGGAGAUGGAAAUGGAUGGAUAUAUGUGGAUGGUACUUCCAGAGUAGAAGUAGCAUAUAUAUGAGUGAACGUGCAAGUGAAUCUUGAUUUAACCACAUGACAAGCUUCUAAGGGUCUACACAGCUUGACCACACUCAAUGCUCAUAAGCAGUAAAUAAUAAAUGUGUGGCUCAAAGUCUAGCAAGCAUGUAUAUGGCUGUGGUAGGAAUUUAAACUUUCAUCAUACAGGAACUCAUCAUGCAACAUUUUAAAGAUUUUUCAAAGAUAAAAUUCUCCAGAAUUCUAGCAUCUCUAGGAAUAGAUAAACAGCAGCUCAACCUUCCCAUAUCAUAUCCGUUAACAACUUAGAUUUCAGAUCAAGUUUUCAUCCCACAAGUUUAGAUCUAGAGCAAACUUUAAAUUAUAAUAGUUAUGUCUAAACUUGAGAGAGAACUUCAAAUUUGCAAAUUAGGCAGAGCAACUAUUCAUCAUAUCCAUGCUAGAGUUUUAUUAUUAAGAUUCAGAUUAGCAUAGCCACUUUAUUUAUUUAUUAAACACACUAAGCAAAAGAUAUAUAUAAGCACAAAAUCUUUAUUUGUUUUUUCAUAGUUUAUGUAUUCUAAUAUAAUAUAAGUAUAAAGAUAGGUAGAAAUACUUAGCGAGAUAAAUGGGGGUGCUCUUCCUCAAACUGAAUUUUGACGUAAUUUCUCUUGAUGUAGCUAGCAGGUGGCAGAGGUGUAUUUGAAAGUCAGCAGCAUUCUGACAACGAUUAGAAUAUCCUCCGUCUGCUAGUCUUCUUGAUUCUUAAAUUCUGUGGAGCUCAAAUAGACAACAAAGCUUGUGGAACUAAUUAAGUGUUAGCAUAAAUAUCUAGCCUUCAUCACGUUGAGCUUCCUCAAUAAAUAUUACUCCCUGUUUUUAUAUUUUUAUUUUAUAAAGUAGAAAAGAAAUAUUUAUUUUAUUUUUAUGCCACCACAGUGAAGUUACUUAUGAGUUUUAUGCCACUCGUAUACCCACAUGGGGCUUAGUAUUUUUUAAAAUUUUUAUUUUCUUUUCAAGAUAGCAUGAUUAACUAAUAAUCUAUUUAAGGAAAGUAAAUAAUUAAAUGGAAAAGGGAAUGCAGAAAGGAUAAAUAUGGAUAACUACCAAUCUUACCUUUCGGCGAGGGUUCAAUGUUUUAAGUCUUCUUGUCAAGACUUCUCAUCGUGUUCAUUCUUCAGGUGCGUCAUUUGAUUCAGGUGCGGACCUUGACGUCUGCACCUUUUAAUACGGUGUCACCCAUGUUCUUCGUUUGCCCAGCAGUUCGAAGUGCGGUGUUAGCAGUAUCUUGCUCAGUGUGUUUGUGCUCGUAGUGUACCUGCUCAUAGAGACAAGGCAGAGAUCAAGUGCAUGGGCCCUGUUGGUGGAAAACACCAACAGAACCAAAAGUGUCUUUGUUCUUCUCUAACCUUAAGCAUAGUGAGCAAGACAAGUUGAUGGAUGAUAAGUUCAUGAGUGUAGCACUUAUAACAUUUGUCAGAUCAGAUCGCUCAACCUUACGGAAAGAUAAUCUAUCUAUGUAUAUGUUUUUUCUUUAUAUCUCUCAAUGAUUGAGUGUGUAACAUUUUAGCUCAUAUGAUUAGGAGUGUGGGAUCAUAGAGGUAGUACUAAGAACAAGGAUUAAAGGACUAAACAUGCUGAAUCAGUUGGGUUGGUUAAUCUAGAGUUGUAAAUCAUACAUGUUUGUCUCUUUUAUUUAUAUGAACGCCAGAACCAAGGAGAAGCUUAUAAAAGUGAUAGUCA